AUCACAUAUUACAGGUAUAGCACUUAUUCCAGUACAAAUAUAUAAUGCAUUAUGGAGAUUACAUGUAAAUGAUUGCAAAGAAUCUUUUAACCUCUUCAUUUUGGAUGAAUGUUUUAUGGAAAUCAAAAUAUAUUUUCAGGUCAUGAAACGAGGAGUCAGUUGAAGUAUGCUUACAUAAAGAUUGAGCCGUUUGCUGGAUUUCUUUAUUUUUUUAUUUUAUGUAUCUCUCUGUAUUAAAAGACAAACAGUUUGACAACUAUCAAGCCACUAACAUAGUUGAAAAACAAGUGAGGAACAAUACUCGCUCGGUGUUUUGAUAUUCCUACCAGUAAAACACCACAACAUUCAAAUUCAUUCUUUGUCUUCACAAUAGUAAAUUGGAACCACCUGGAAGACACUAUUGUUCGCGCC
rnacentral:lncRNA from 1 species